UACCACUCCCAGCUCACGGGAGGUAGUGACGAAAUAUAACGAUACGGGACUCAUCCGAGGCCUCGUAAUCGGAAUGAGUACACUUUAAAACGUUUAACGAGGAUCCAUUGGAGGGCAAGUCUGGUGCCAGCAGCCGCGGUAAUUCCAGCUCCAAUAGCGUAUAUUAAAGUUGUUGUGGUUAAAAAGCUCGUAGUUGGAUGUGUGUCUCGCGGCGUCGGUUCACCGCUCGACGGCGGUGUCAACUGGCGCGUCAGCGAAAUGUCCUGCCGGUGGCGGUUCGGUCUGGUCGUGUCCGGGGCUCGUUCGCGGGUACCCGGCUCGUCCGCUUGGUCGGCCGUCGGCCCCUGGCUCCUGGCCAGGUGCGUCCUGUCGCGGUGCUGGCCGAGCUCGCUCGCGCCAGUGUCGAGGCGGACCGGCACGUUUACUUUGAACAAAUUAGAGUGCUCAAAGCAGGCAAGCAAAGUGUGACGGGCCGCAAGGCCCGGCCGCCUGAAUACUGUGUGCAUAGAAUAACUGAAUAGGACGUCGGUUCCAGUUAAGGUUAAGUGGUUUUCGGAACCCGACGUAAUGAUUAACAGGGACGGGCGGGGGCAUUCGUAUUGCGACGUUAGAGGUGAAAUUCUUAGAUCGUCGCAAGACGAACCGAAGCGAAAGCGUUUGCCAAGUACGUCCCCGUUGAUCAAGAACGAAAGUUAGAGGUUCGAAGGCGAUCAGAUACCGCCCUAGUUCUAACCAUAAACGAUGUCAGCCAGCGAUCCACUAACGUUCCUCCGAUGACUUAGUGGGCAGCUUCCGGGAAACCAAAGCUUUUGGAUUCCAGGGGAAGUAUGGUKGCAAAGCUGAAACUUAAAG
rnacentral:rRNA from 1 species